rnacentral:lncRNA from 1 species
AACACCUUUAAGAGAGACAAACUCUGUCAAAAUAAGUUUAUGAAGUGUUAUUCAUCGAGAGCCAAUAAACUCCUCAACAAGUCAGUAUUGUUCUCAAUGAGAAGUUUUGUCCCUCAACUUUAUUAAGAGUUGGAGUGCUUGAAGAGGCAACAAAUUGAUAUAGUAGAAGCUUCUUGUUAGGUGCCAAGGCAAGCCAUGUGUAUUACACAUGAUUGGACUCAAAAACAUAUAGGGAUCUUAUGGGUGAAAAUGCUCUAGGGUAGAGUUUGAGUUCAACCAUACGCAACACUAAGGGCAAAGCUAAAAAAUCAUCUUAGAAGGCCAAUUUUGAAUCAUAAAUUUGAGGGAGGGGGC